GGAAAGGUGGCCGAGUGGUUGAAGGCGCACGCUUGGAAAGCGUGUAUGCGGGUGACCGUAUCGAGGGUUCGAAUCCCUUCCUUUCCGCCA
rnacentral:tRNA from 2 species